rnacentral:rRNA from 1 species
GACGAACGCUGGCGGCGUGCUUAACACAUGCAAGUCGAACGGAAAGGCCCCUUUGGGGGUACUCGAGUGGCGCACGGGUGCGUAACACGUGAGUAACCUGCCCUUGACUUCGGGAUAACUUCAGGAAACUGGGGCUAAUACCGGAUAGGAAUCCUUGCUGCAUGGUGGGGGUUGGAAAGCUUCGGCGGUUUUGGAUGGACUCGCGGCUUAUCAGCUUGUUGGUGGGGUAGUGGCUUACCAAGGCUUUGACGGGUAGCCGGCCUGAGAGGGCGACCGGCCACAGUGGGACUGAGAGACGGCCCAGACUCCUACGGGAGGCAGAGGUGGGGAAUAUUGCACAAUGGGCGGAAGCCUGAUGCAGCAACGCCGCGGGCGGGAUGACGGCCUUCGGGUUGUAAACCGCUUUCAGCAGGGGCGAAGCUUGUGGUGACGGUACCUGCAGAAGAAGCACCGGCUAACUACGUG